rnacentral:lncRNA from 1 species
UGGGUGUGUUCUUGACAGUCAUGGUUUCAGAGGGUUCUUCUAUCCAAGAGGAAGUCAGUCCUCUGAAGACCAAGUUUGCGUACUGGACAAUUUGAGCUGACAGCAGCUGCCAACUCAUGCUCGGCUCUUCACGGUGGACUGUCUCUUGUGCAGGUCAGCUUGUCCUGGCAGAUGCUAUCCAUGGCAGUGCUUCCCUGCCUGGGCCUGGGGAGAGGCCCUCCUGGGAGAUUCCUCUUCUGGCUGAGCCUGUACCUGGGCCUGUGUGCAGGACUCAGACUCUCUUGGACAGAAAUCUUCGUCCCCGUGAAAUGCUGCCAUGUCCCGAGAGACAAGAAAAGAUGCUGUGAAUGUCACGUAUGCUUCCUGGCUACACUCAAGUUCUCAAGGAAUGGAUGUGCCUGAUCCCCUGUCUUACCAGAUAAGGGCCCUCACUGAGGAUGCUCUAGGAACCCACAAGGUGAAGAAGAGGUGCCCCUUCCUUGAAGACUCAGCUGGCAGAGAGGAGAAGCAGCGGGACAUCAGGACUAUGGCUGGACGUCAGAGAGAAGCAGCUUAACUUCAGAGGUGCAGCUUGAUGGUGUAACUUAGGAGAAGAAUCUGACUGGAGACGGCCAGACUUCAGAAGAAGAUGACCUACCCCCCCAUCCCCUUUUCAGCUUCCCUUCCCGCUGAGAGCCACUUUUAUUGGCAAUAAAAUCCUC